UAUAUAAAUCAAUCUUUUCGAAAAUUAUUAAUCUCGAAAAUUAACUUGUACAAGUUCUAAUUCUGAUAAAUAUAUUAAUGUUCUUGAAAAAGCGUAACUUAUAUUCCAUUAUUUAAAAAAAAUUAAAAAAUUAAAAAUUAAAAAAAAAAAUGGAACUCCAAUCUUGAGAGCUCACACGGCCCCAACACUAAAGCAUCGUGAGAGAAGUAAAUCACAAAAUAUUCUUCAACAGGUGAGGGAACAAAAGCUUAUCCGUACACUGGUACCCACAAAGAAUCCAAUUCUAUAUCUCAAAAAUCGAACCCUCACAUUGCCGCUACCAAUAAGGUUGAAAUUACCCCACUCCUGUCCUUUGUAACACUUGAUUAUGCCCCGACAGACUUAUAUUCCAUUAUUUUAGAAGAUUGGGUGGUGGUGUCGUAGCAUAACUUUGAACUAGCCAAUAUACUUCUCUCUUCUAGCUAGAUUUCCAAAAACAAGCUACUCAACCAAAAAUAUUUCAUCACCAGCAACCAAGCUCUAUAUGUCUCCACGGGAGGAAAACUAAUGCAAUUUCAUUUAUACAUUGAACGACGGAAAGUUUGAGUUUUGGUACAGUCAAGUAUUUGCAUUUUAUUCAUAAACAUGACAUUCAAGUGAUCUUCAUUCACCAAGGAACUAGAAUGCUAUAAUUUC
rnacentral:lncRNA from 1 species